rnacentral:rRNA from 1 species
CCCGUAUUUGGCGAGAUGCCUUAGUGCCUUCGGGAACCGUGAGACAGGUGCUGCAUGGCUGUCGUCAGCUCGUGUUGUGAAAUGUUGGGUUAAGUCCCGCAACGAGCGCAACCCUUAUCCUUUGUUGCCAGCGGUCCGGCCGGGAACUCAAAGGAGACUGCCAGUGAUAAACUGGAGGAAGGUGGGGAUGACGUCAAGUCAUCAUGGCCCUUACGACCAGGGCUACACACGUGCUACAAUGGCGCAUACAAAGAGAAGCGACCUCGCGAGAGCAAGCGGACCUCAUAAAGUGCGUCGUAGUCCGGAUUGGAGUCUGCAACUCGACUCCAUGAAGUCGGAAUCGCUAGUAAUCGUGGAUCAGAAUGCCACGGUGAAUACGUUCCCGGGUCUUGACCACACCGA